AAGAUUUGUCACUGCUAUCAGUUUGAUAUUGCCGUAUUCCCAGUCAAUUGCACCAAAUACUGCUAUAUCAUGGGUGUUAAGGAAGAUUUUAUAGGGUCAAGUUUGUUCAGUAAAUUUGCCAUUUUUGUACUUCUGGCUGCUAACUUAUUUAACUGGAUAGCAUUCUGUACAGCAGAAUGGGGUAUAGAAUAUAAUUCUGGAGACUCAUCCCGCAAAAUAACGAAAGUCAGGGGCUUAUGGAGACUUUGUGGAACUGGUCUAUGCGCAUCAGUUGAUGGACCGGGAUUGGCUAGAGACGAAGAAGAAGCUGUUAUUACGAAUUAUCAUGGAGUUGUUCAAGCAUUUGCUAUAUUUGGAUUCGUGGGAAUCAAUGUUGCCUUUCUCUUGGUUAUUCUGAUGAUGUUUACGUCUAAAUGUAAGAGAAAUAGUGAUGCUGGAAUGGCGACUGUCAUCAUUUGCUUUUUUGCUGCUGUGUCUUACCUAAUAUCUGUCAUCGUCUUUGCUGCCUGCUUUAACUAUACGACUGUUGAUGGAGUUAGAGUUGACGACCCCUUAAAGAGUACUGGAUACUCACUUUAUCUGGCUGUCAUCGCUUUUGUACUGGCAUUUGUUAGCGGGGCCCUUCUUAUAGUUGAUAUAAAGAAAGGGGGUGCAACAUCACCAGCUUAAAACAUUUCUUGAUUUUUUCUCAUUUAAAGAUGCAUUAUGUAAGAUUCAGAUGAGGAGCUGAGCAAUGCAUCCCAUUCGUUUAUGAAUAAAAUAUUGUUUAAAUCAAACCAAACCUUAGGGCUGUUUUGAGAAGAACGGAGUCUCGAUUGUCAUUGCUAAAGUUGUCACGAUAGUAAACAAGGUCUCGAUUAUCCACUUUUUAAUUAAAUCAUUAAUCCGUUGAAAAUCUCAAUCAUCCGAUGGCAUCCAAAUUAAUAAAUGUCUAAUUAAUAAUCUAUAUAACAUUUGUAGCCAAAAUAAACACCUGCAAUAGGGAGAUUUAGUUCUUGCUAGAGCUAGAAUUGCCUAUUGCUUUUCCUGGCUUCAGAUUAUUAAUUAGACAUUUAUUAACUUGCCAAGACCAUAAGCCAACUGUCUAGCUCAUCGGAUGACUUAGAUAUUGAAUGGAUUAGACGACACCUGUCAUAUUAUGUGCAUUAAAAUGCAUAACGCAACUCACGGAGAAUGCAGAUUAAAGACGUUCUACACACAUUUCUAUUCUUGAAUAUUAAAAUUCUUAUUUGAGUUAGAAGGAAUACAAAUUUAAUACAAAUUUGGGUUAAAAGUACUACAAAUUUAAGUAGCUAUUCUUAAGUUCGCCCAGAAUAAAGUAAUUUAACUAAACUACUAUAGCAAGAACGAUUAGCUCUUUCUCUAAAUCUCGCAUAAUUCCUUUUAAAACUAAUGCUAGGUUCCCACUGUCGUGUGAUGCUUUACGAUAGGAUUCUCCCUGGUAGGAUUACCACGAUUACUCCACGAUUAAUACCACGAUUUCAAUCGUUGCGCGAAUCGUGAUCGCGGGAACCUAGCAUAAGUAUAUAUAAACUACUGUAUAAAUGUUACCAAACCUCAGUUCAUGGCUCAUAAUCGUCUUGUUAUUGGCAUGGGAUUUUUGCGUCUAACAACUAGUUAGUAAUGCGAAAGCUGUACGAAAUUUACUUAAUUUUCAUAAGAUUGAUUUGAAACCACAAUACUAACAUAUAACCACGUAUGUUUAAUUAUUUUUUAUUAUUAAAAAUUAUUAUGAAUUAACUACGAUUAAAUACUGCAGUUGGA